ACUCUAGGAAAGAAAAGGAUUUUUCAGCUUUAUCAGGAUUAAAGUGCCUGUUUUAUCCUCAGGGAAAUCUGCAUUCUGCGACUUCCUUGAUUUCUUCUUCCCAGGAGUCGGUGCACCUAACAAAAAGCUCCUCAAAUAACUCCUUUUACAUUAAUACUCAGGGCUGACAUGGAAAUUUGGCUACACACUUAAUUGUGUCAUCUAUUCCUGACCAAAGCUAUAGUUUGCCUUGGUCCAAGUGCACACAGAAACACACUUGACAAUAUAGGGACAAGUUAAUUCAUCUGUGUUUCGAUAAAAAAAAAAUCAUCUGUGUUUCUCGCCAAGCCAGUCGCCAGAGGUGACCAGGAAGGUGCCAGAGCUGCUGAUGGGCUCUAAUAUCAAUAUGUCUCGUACAGUCGCACUCCCCUAGCUUGUCAGGUCGUUUGGCCUUAAUUAGGGGCAAAUUUAGAUUGUUACCUUUUGGGUUGGUAUCUUCCCUAAUUUCUCGUGCUGGACGAGGUAAUACAAGCAACCAAGCAGGUAUCCUGCGUUCUCAACCGUUAGAUCUACAUCCUUUGGACGGCUAUAGCAGAUUCCAAGCACAGUAGAAAAGCGAAAACAACCUUAUGUAUUCUUGAGUAUAUUAAUAUUGUUUUGCUAGCUCGUCAAUUUCAGUUAAAAAUGUCUGAACAAAUACUU
rnacentral:lncRNA from 1 species